UACGUAGGGUGCAAGCGUUGUCCGGAAUUAUUGGGCGUAAAGAGCUCGUAGGCGGUCUGUCGCGUCUGCUGUGAAAACUCGGGGCUUAACCCCGGGCCUGCAGUGGGUACGGGCAGACUAGAGUGCGGUAGGGGAGACUGGAAUUCCUGGUGUAGCGGUGAAAUGCGCAGAUAUCAGGAGGAACACCGGUGGCGAAGGCGGGUCUCUGGGCCGUAACUGACGCUGAGGAGCGAAAGCAUGGGGAGCGAACAGGA
rnacentral:rRNA from 1 species